UCUCAAAAUUUUGUUUAUACUAAAGCAGAAGAAACCAUAUGAAGAGAACGAUCACAAUAAAUACUAG
rnacentral:sRNA from 1 species